UAAUGCCUGCGGUACGCGUGAUAUUAUAUUUGUUUCUGAACCAAUCUAAAUCGGGAAGUCGAGCCAUUUGUGGCGCACAAGCCGGACAGGAUCCGGAUCUGUAAAGCAGACAAGGUAGACGUCCACUUUGUUGCCUGGUUCGAGUAAACCAAUAAUACACGGUACCGCGGGUUAAAA
rnacentral:other from 1 species